rnacentral:rRNA from 1 species
AACGAACGCUGGCGGCAGGCUUAACACAUGCAAGUCGAGCGCCCCGCAAGGGGAGCGGCAGACGGGUGAGUAACGCGUGGGAAUCUACCCAUCUCUACGGAAUAACGCAUGGAAACGUGUGCUAAUACCGUAUACGUCCUUCAGGAGAAAGAUUUAUCGGAGAUGGAUGAGCCCGCGUUGGAUUAGCUAGUUGGUGGGGUAAAGGCCUACCAAGGCGACGAUCCAUAGCUGGUCUGAGAGGAUGAUCAGCCACACUGGGACUGAGACGGCCCAGACUCCUACGGGAGGCAGCAGUGGGGAAUAUUGGACAAUGGGCGCAAGCUUGAUCCAGCCAUGCCGCGUGAGUGAUGAAGGCCCUAGGGUUGUAAAGCUCUUUCACCGGUGAAGAUAAUGACGGUAACCGGAGAAGAAGCCCCGGCUAACUUCGUGCCAGCCGCCGCCGUAACAC